GCAGCUGAAAAAAACCCCCUCUGGGGUCCUUGGGUCCUUCCUGGGUCUGUUGUCGCGCAGGCCGGGAGCUCACGCGCAGGCCGGGAGCUCACGCGCACGCCGCCGGGUGAUCGCAGACAGGCAGAUCCACAUAUUAGAAAAAAAGGAGCACAAAUUUCCCUGAAGCCAUGUGUUUAUCUUCCAACCUGAUCUGAUGUGCUUCAGAGACAACAAGGCCAAACAAGAGCACUGCCGAGGAGCCACAGAGACAGACCCUCAUGUCACUAACGUCACUAGCGGUUGAGGCCUCUCCCUGCUAAACCGUGGCAGUGGUGUGUUUUCAGGAAUUCAGGUGAAUAAAGGCGAAUGCCUGGGAAUAUAGCAGUUUGAGCCCCGUGUCUGGACCUCACGAGAUAAAGCCCAGGACCCGGCCAAGAGCUGUUUCAAGGGCAGACAUCCUCCUGUGUCAGCCUGUACUGAGGGCCCGCUGCAGACUCAGGCUGAAUGUCUUAUUCUCAGUGUCUUUCUGGAUUCGAGGGGCCCAUUGAGUAGCACCUGUGAGGUCAAGGGCAUGAAGCCUGGAGUAGGGGGUGUCACCCCUACAACAAGUCAUUCACCAAAUACUCCCACUGUAACCUGAAAUCUCUCCUGUGUCUGUUCUUCAGCUUCAUUCUCGCUGCCACUAUGCUAGUUCAGGUACUUUCCAA
rnacentral:lncRNA from 1 species